rnacentral:rRNA from 1 species
CCAUGCCGCGUGCAGGAAGACGGCCUUCUGGGUUGUAAACUGCUUUUACCAGGGGUUAAAAUGGUCUUGCGAGACAAAUUGAAGGUACCUGGUGAAUAAGCCACGGCUAACUACGUGCCAGCAGCCGCGGUAAUACGUAGGUGGCAAGCGUUGUCCGGAUUUAUUGGGUUUAAAGGGUGCGUAGGCGGCCCUGUAAGUCAGUGCUGAAAUAUCCCGGCUUAACCGGGAGGGUGGCAUUGAUACUGCGGGGCUUGAGUACAGAUGAGGUAGGCGGAAUUGACGGUGUAGCGGUGAAAUGCAUAGAUAUCGUCAAGAACACCGAUAGCGAAGGCAGCUUACUAAGUUGUAACUGACGCUGAUGCACGAAAGUGUGGGGAUCAAACAGGAUUAGAUACCCUGGUAGUCCACACUGUAAACGUUGAUUACUCGCUGUUUGCGAUACACAGCAAGCGGCCAAGCGCAAGCGAUAAGUAAUCCACCUGGGGAGUACGCCGGCAACGGUG